GACGAACGCUGGCGGCGUGCCUAAUACAUGCAAGUAGAACGCUGAAGGAGGAGCUUGCUUCUCUGGAUGAGUUGCGAACGGGUGAGUAACGCGUAGGUAACCUGCCUGGUAGCGGGGGAUAACUAUUGGAAACGAUAGCUAAUACCGCAUAAGAGUAGAUGUUGCAUGACAUUUGCUUAAAAGGUGCAAUUGCAUCACUACCAGAUGGACCUGCGUUGUAUUAUCUAGUUGGUGGGGUAACGGCUUACCAAGGCGACGAUACAUAGCCGACCUGAGAGGGGGGACGGCCAAACUGGGACUGAGGCACGGCCCAGACUCCUAAGGGAGGGAGCAGUAGGGAAUCUUCGGCAAUGGACGGAAGUCUGACCGAGGAAAGCCGGGUGAGUGAAGGAGGGUUUCGGAUCGUAAAGGUCUGUUGUAAGAGAAGAACGAGUGUGAGAGUGGAAAGUUCACGCUGUGACGGUAUCUUACCAGAAAGGGACGGCUAACUACGUG
rnacentral:rRNA from 1 species